AAGAGCAACGUCGACGUCGAGUCGCUGAUUGAGAAGCUCCCCAACCUAAACCCUCUUAAAUCCUCUACCGAAGAGAAACCCACCUCGGAAAGUGGGCCCUCGGCGGCUGUGGUGGAGGAGAAGAAGAGAAACCGGACGGCGGAGCUGGCGGCCACAAGCGGCGGCGCUCUGGCAUUGGCUUUUCUCUGCAACAAGGCUCUGUUUCCGAUUCGGGUUCCGAUUACGCUGGCGGUUACGCCUCCUUUGGCUAAGUUCUUGGCCAGGAGGAGGCUUAUCA
rnacentral:lncRNA from 1 species